rnacentral:rRNA from 1 species
GACGAACGCUGGCGGCGUGCCUAAUACAUGCAAGUCGAGCGCAGGAAACUGACGGAACUCUUCGGAGGGAAGGCAGUGGAAUGAGCGGCGGACGGGUGAGUAACACGUAAGGAACCUGCCUCAAGGAUUGGGAUAACUCCGAGAAAUCGGAGCUAAUACCGGAUAGUUCAACGGACCGCAUGGUCCGCUGAUGAAAGGCGCCCCGGCGUCACCUUGAGAUGGCCUUGCGGUGCAUUAGCUAGUUGGUGGGGUAACGGCCCACCAAGGCGACGAUGCAUAGCCGACCUGAGAGGGUGAUCGGCCACACUGGGACUGAGACACGGCCCAGACUCCUACGGGAGGCAGCAGUAGGGAAUCUUCCACAAUGGACGAAAGUCUGAUGGAGCAACGCCGCGUGAGUGAUGAAGGUUUUCGGAUCGUAAAACUCUGUUGUAAGGGAAGAACACGUACGAGAGGAAAUGCUCGUACCUUGACGGUACCUUACGAGAAAGCCACGGCUAACUACGUGCCAGCCGCCGCUGUAA